UCGCCUCUAGUUGCCAGCAUCGUUGGGCACUCUAGAGGGACUGCCGGCGACAAGUCGGAGGAAGGUGGGGAUGACGUCAAAUCAUCAUGCCCCUUAUGACCUGGGCUACACACGUGCUACAAUGGGCGGUACAAAGGGCUGCGAACCCGCGAGGGGGAGCGAAUCCCAAAAAGCCGCUCUCAGUUCGGAUUGCAGGCUGCAACUCGCCUGCAUGAAGCCGGAAUCGCUAGUAAUCGCGGAUCAGCACGCCGCGGUGAAUACGUUCCCGGGCCUU
rnacentral:rRNA from 1 species